CACUCUCACGCAACUUCUCAGAAUUUCAAUCCAACCCCCAACAAAUAUACAUAUAUACAUCCACUCAUUGACUUUAAUCUUCAAACUCAUCUCUCUCUCUCUCCCUCUCUGAGUUUCUUUGGGUCUCUCAUUGAUUCAUCUUACCCUCCUGUGUAAUCGGAGAGAAAAUCUUCUUCGUUCCCCCUUUUAUUUUUCUUCCAUUCUUUUGUUUGUGAAAAUGAAUCCAGCAAGAGCGGCGCUCAUGGGUUCGCCAAUUGUCUGGUCUGUGUUCUUGAUGCUUCUGCAACUCACCAAUGGACAGGGCAUCGCCCCUUCUUCUGAGACUACUGCUCCAGGACCCUCCAGCAAUGGGGAGACGAUUGAUCAAGGGAUUGCUUACAUACUUAUGCUAUUGGCCCUGGCUCUCACUUACAUCUUUCACUGAUUUUUUUUUUUUUUUCCUUUUUAAAUUUUGAGUCUUGAAGUUUUGAUCGAUUGGAAUUGGAUUCUGUAUUGGGAUUUCUUUUCUGCUCUCAUCCAGUCUUUGUAGGAGAGGAAUUCUGAAUUCCAUUAACAUAUAUUCUUUUACAUGUAAAGAGAUUCAUUUUAUAUGUCAUGAAUUUUUAUUUGGAUCA